rnacentral:rRNA from 1 species
GACGAACGCUGGCGGCGUGCUUAACACAUGCAAGUCGAACGGAAAGGCCCUGCUUGCAGGGUGCUCGAGUGGCGAACGGGUGAGUAACACGUGGGUGAUCUGCCCCUUACCUUGGGAUAAGCCUGGGAAACUGGGUCUAAUACUGGAUAGGACCAUGCUGUAGGUGGUGUGGUGGAAAGAUUAGUUUCGGUAAGGGAUGAGCUCGCGGCCUAUCAGCUUGUUGGUGGGGUAAUGGCCUACCAAGGCGUCGACGGGUAGCCGGCCUGAGAGGGUGGACGGCCACAUUGGGACUGAGAUACGGCCCAGACUUCUACGGGAGGCAGCAGUGGGGAAUAUUGCACAAUGGGCGCAAGCCUGAUGCAGCGACGCCGCGUGGGGGAUGACGGCCUUCGGGUUGUAAACUCCUUUCAGCCAUGACGAAGCCCUUGUGGUGACGGUAGUGGUAGAAGAAGCACCGGCUAACUACGUG